CUUUUUUCUUAUACGUUGCAGUUUCUCUUCUUACACAUACUCCCAUGUCACUAGACAUCCCGGGAGGUCCUUUUUUCUUAUACGUUGCAGUUUCUCUUCUUACACAUACUCCCAUGUCACUAGACAUCCCGGGAGGUCCUUUUUUCUUAUAUUUUAUUGUUAGGCGCGCCCCAUCUCUCACCAUAUUCGGUUUCUGAUAUAUAAUUCUGGACUUCUUUAAGAUUGCUACAACAGUGAGAAAAGUCAAAAUAGCUCCUAGUAAAAGCAUAGAAGCCUCUAUAUUAACCUCCCACAAUAGCAACAUUCCCAAGCCAAAGUCCAGAAAAAACAUACCUCUCCGAAUUUACCAUCCUGCAGUUCUGAAUCCGCCUUGUAGCCAAGGGGUCUCCGCGGUGCUGGAGAUGUUCAUAUGUUCCCGGGUUUCGGCACCAUAUGUCCCGCGCGUGCUCUGUAUUUCUCGCCAGCAAGAAAUCACACACGGGACACUCGGAUCCUUCUGCAGACAAGCUUUAAUGCAUCUUGAGAGGAGAGCAUAAGCUUCCCCGAGCAGAGACACUAAACUAAGAAAACCAUCCCUUAUAAAGGCUGACCAGCCGCCUGGGACGUGUUACCCUAUGAAUGGCUUUAGCUCCUCAGGCCAAAAUGAGCCACGGGAUAGGCAGAGAUCAAAGGAAUGGAGAUUACCCAGCGCCUGUGAAGUAAUUUACAUCUUGGUGUCUUUAGGCACCAUUAUAAUGCAGGAAAACGGCUUCCUACACAGAGCAACCAGCUGAAAGAGCAAAUACAACCUCCCAAACCAGUGGUUUUUAACCUUCCUAUACUGCAACCCUUUAAUACAGUUCUUCAUGUUGUGGUGACCCCUUACAUAAAAUUAUUUUUAUAUUUAUUUUUAUAUAUAUUUGAAUUACAAGCAAGAUUGAGUUACAUGACGAUCCCAGUUCCCUUCUCCCUCCCUUCCUCCUCUACCACCCCCCAACUAAAAUCCUACUUGUCAUAGGUCCUUUCUUCUAAUCUACACCUGACUCAAAAUUUCUGCUCCCUCAUGACCUCUGCAUUCUUCCUUUUCUUCCUUUCUUACUCUCGUAGCUUCCUCCCCCUCUUCCCAUGUUCUCAAUUUGCUCAGGGGAUGGUGACCCUUUCCCCUUCUCCAGGGGACGAAGUUUGUCUCUUUUAGGGUCUUCUUUGUUUACUAGUAUAUGUGGCAGUGUGGAUUGUAGGAUGGUAAUCCCUUACUCUCUGUCUAAAAUCACAUAUGAGUGAGUACAUAUCAUGUUUGUCUUUUUGUGAUUGGGUUACCUCACUCAGAAUGGUUUCUUCAAGUUCCAUUCAUUUUCCUGCAAAUUUCAAGAUUUCCAUUGUUUUUUUUCUGCAGAGUAGUACUCCAUUGUGUAAAUAUACCACAUUUUCUCUAUCCAUUCUUUGGUUGAGGGGCAUCUAGGCUGCUUCCAGUUUCUGACUUGUCCUCUUGUCAUCCUUUCUUCUGGUGGGUGUAGCAAGAGUUUCUUGUUCUGGUGGGUGUGGGACCAAGGUUCUCUUCUGGUAGAUGCAAACAGAUCCAAUACUGUGAUUUUGGUCCUCUUCUCAUGGAUGGAGGUGUCACUGUUACCUGGGUGUCGGCAUUGUUUGGGCGUGCCAGGUCCCACUGGGCCAGCAGUUGGAGGCAGAGCUGUCACUGGGCCUCCGUGUGUC
ensembl:lncRNA